AUACAAAUAGGGUCAUCUGUAAUGAUGUCUUUCAGUUUGUUCAGUUAUAGACAAAAUUUACAAAAAAGAACUAUUCACAUGUUAUAACGCAACUAUGGUUGAAGAAAUACAGUUUAUUAAGGAACUAGGCAUGAUCUUCUCUGAAACUGAAUCUGAUAUUGCUUUGGUAGGAAACGUCAUAAUGCAUAGUGCUUAAUUUCCAGUCUUUUUUCCAGGUAUUUGAGUUUUAAUAGUUCAUUAAGUGGAAGAAUGUGGAUAUCUGCUGUAUUGUUAACUUUCAGAGCCAACAUCUUGAGGAGCAUUUCAGCAACCCUCGGAGAGUGAACUGAAGAUCUUUCUUUUAAGUUGCUGUAGGAUUUUUCCCCAUAAAGACACAUCAGUUGCAAGUUAAAAUAUCUGUCCUGCCAGAGAAGAUAGAACAACUCUUGAAAACAUGGGAAGACAUUUAACAACUGUCACCACUCCCUCUGAUUUGCACUUUCUCUGGAAAUAGAUGGCUCCAAAAUGAGCUCAAACUCUGUGAGAUAAGAGACUGACUCAUCAUUCCAUUCAGCACAGUUUUGGUUGAUACCAGCAAAGUAAUUCGAACAAGGAUGAGGAAGACAUGAGAUGCCUUAUUAUCAUUCAUUAUAAUAAAUUAUUGUUUAUAUAAAUGCCUAAGAUGCUGAGAAUAUUAAUUGAAGAGUUAUGCUUUUUUAUUGUAUUUAAUUAUUUAUUUUAGGUAGCGAUUAAAAUUUAGCACAAAAGUGGCAAUGUUUAACACUCAGGGGUAAUUAUAAUUGUUAUGCUGGCUCCAUUGCCAUAGAAGUACCAUGAGAAAUCAUGAGUAACACAGUUUUAAACAUUCUUGAUACAUAUGAAUUAAACUGAAGCAAGAUUAUUUAACAGACUAUCCCAUAAAACUGCCUUAAAGAAAAAAAAAUCUCUAUAUAAUAUCAUUAUCACAGAGAAUAAACUUUACACUUUACAAAAUGUCAAUUUUGACAGUUAAUGAAAAGAUAAGAAUUAAUGUACUAAAUCUUCUACAAUUAAGAUGAAUUAAUUUAAAAAUCAGUGAUGAAAACUAAUGUAAUAAACUUGAAAUGUAGUGGAAAAUAGCUUUUUCCAAUCAGAGAUUUUAUAAAUUAGCAUUUUCUGAGCAAUUAGCAAAUGACUAUGAAGUUUAAAGAUGUGAAUGUAAAAAGCUACAAAUAUUUUUUGAUUUCUGAAAUGAAGAUUUAUGCAUUAUGCCAUUCUGGAAGCCAAUGAAAGUAAAAUAAUUCAAAAAUAUUUAAGAUUUUUGUGAGUAAGAAAUGUUUUAAUGUGUUUGUAGAAGUGAUGUGAAAAAGAAUGAAGUAUAUAAUAAGGGAGUGGUAAUAAACAGUUAUCAGGAUAUAGGCACAUUUUAACUUUGCAAAUCUAAAAAUGUGGAAGUCUCUAAGAAUAGCUUAGAAUAACAUAGAUUUCUGCUCAGUGCCAAAUUCAGUGCUCCCUCUACUCUCAUCUACUUCCUCAGCUGAAGUGCCCUGUGCUCACCUGAGAAAGCUGCUUAUAUGAAUGCAUAGACAUUUUGUUGUUGUUUCACAGUUUUCAAUUCAGAUAUGUCAGUUUUCAAGUCUAGAUCUCUGCACAGCUGCAAAAAUGCCCAUGUUAAUGCAGACCUGAUAAACUGAUGAAGGUGCAGAAAUAGGCAGUUGAGGGGAGAAGGUAAUCAGGGGAUGAAAUGGACACAUUAACAGCAAAUAACAGAUGAAAUUACUUAAAGAUCUAUCAACACUGCAAGAAAUUAGGGAAGUCAUUUAAGGUUAUAACACAGAUACGUACAGACUCAUAAUCUCAGUAUUUUCCUGCCUGAAGUAAAAAUUUAAUAUAGGAAACUAGGAUAAAAGUCAAUAAAUAAAUAAUCUAAAAGUAUCACUGUUUGUAUGAGCCUAAGAAUUCUACUUCAAUGAAGAUCUCCAGAGAUAUUAGAGGCAUGCUUUUAGGCAUACCUACCAGCAGAAAUCAGAAUAAAAGACAGUUCUUUCGUUUUUAUUUAAAACUAUACCAGAGGAUCUACUUUUUUCCCUCUUAUUUUCAUCUUAGUGCUUGAGCACAUUUUGCUGCUUCAUUCUAGAAUGAAGAAAGAAAGACAUGAUGACAUUUUACUCAGUUUACUGCAAUUUUGCUUGGGGAACUAGCUGUUAUCAUAGCCUGACAUUCCACUUCUCAACUGAAAUUCUUUCCUUCAAAAAAGAUGCUAGAUGCAAUUUAUUUAUUUAUAUUUAAUCAUGAUAGCAUGCUGAGCUUCUAGUAAGAUAUAAUCAUCUAUUGUAUAAUCAAGACACUUGAUUACACAUCCUCUUGUUUUCUUCUUCUCUGUAGGGGAAAGCUACCUGUAUACCAGACAAAAAAAUUAUGGGAGUUCAAUUUGCAUUUCCAGUAAAACAACAGUAUCAAGGCCUAGUGUAGUAGGAACUGAGAGGCCAACAACAACAAAAAAAAAAGUCUGAAACUUUCUUUCUUCCUUCUAUUGCUAAGAUCAUACUUUAGUUCAUAAACUUAUAUCCAAGAUAGCACAUCACUAUUAAGUAUGUGAAAAGCAAUGUGAUGUGCAGGGCUAAAGUACUUUUAUAUUAGACAUGGGAAAAGUUUACUUUGUCCUGAAAGAAUAAAAGUUAAGAAAUUUCCUUAAAACUCUAGUGCACUAAAAAAGGUAUGCAGCACAGGAUAUUAUGUUCCCAUUCUAUGAGCAUUUUCACAGGAUUCCACCACAUUCAAGCUCAUUCAUGCAUAUAGCAGAAAAAAUUAAGGUACACCUCUAUUAUUUCGUGACUUCCAAGGGCUUGAUUUUGCAAAUCUAAAUUUAAUUCUUUUAAUGUAAUUUUUGUAUAUCAUAUAUUAUAAAGGAAGUGUCUGGAUAAGAAAGAACUAUUUAAUAACUAUAGUACUGUAACUUGUUUGUUCCUGGGUGUUCUUGUGUAAAAGUGGAGUAGUUAAAUUUAAAAUUAUUUUUAAUUACAGAAGCAGGAACAUCUUACCCUAACACUGAGUUAUGUCCACUAUUAAUGAACAAUUUAAUUGAUCAAAUUAUCAUGCAAGCACUAAAACGUCUUGAAUUUCAAUGAAAUAAUGUUUCCUUUUAAAGUUGGCUUCUAUUUUUAGUACUUAAAAGACAUAUAUUUUUAGCUUUUCCUAACUGAUAGAGGAUUUAUGUAGACACAAAGACACUGCAAAUAAAAAUGGAUUUUCUCAUGUACACUUCUCAGGAACUAAGCAAGAUCCAAAAUUUAAUGAGAGCUGAAACAAAAUAGCAGUAACAUCUGCUGUUUGUUUGUUUGUUUGUUUGUUUGUUUGUUUUUCUAGUAGUAAACCUGCAAGCUUUGUAGACUCAUUUGGGACAAUUACAUGGUUCUUCUGACAGAAGAUACAAAAGUCACCUGACUUUUGGGUAGAUGUUGAUAUAGCAAAAGUGAACCAAUAAGAAAAAAUAAGAUCUUUGCCAAAAUCUCAUGUUCAGCAUGUUGUCCUCAUUUUGUCACUCUGUUAAGUGAAUGCUAGACAGUCACUCGCAGUCCAGAACAAAAAGUCCACAACUAGUAGUAAGAUGGUGUGUUACCAUGGAUACAAACAGCCGGAUGCUUUGUGUGCUCAUCUAGUGAGAUAGCACCACAACCUGGCUAUCUACUAGCUUCAACAAGAGUGAAACAACUACUCCCUAGAAACACAAGAUUACAAGGUGAGUAUAUCUAAUCAGAAAUAUAUCUUUCUGAUGCCUACAGAUCAUUACUUUUGUAACAAAACUGUGCUUCCAGUCCAUGAAGUCUGGGUGACAUCACUUAAGUCGGUGAUCAUCUAGAAACAGAACUCAGAGAACAAAAAAUAACCUGAAAGAAUUAUUCAGCAACCCAUUUUCAGAGACUUGCACUAAUGUGAUCAGUUAUCAGCUGAGUUACUUCUAUUUUAAAUUUGGAGAAAGAGUGCAUGACUGAUACAAAGUCUAGGUGCCUUGGGGGAGAAAGUAACACUAAGAACUGACCAUACUUAUUGCGCUAGAAGAUUAGGGGAAAGUAUUGUAUAUAAAGAAUUUGCAUAAAAUAAAGAUUCUAUAAAGAACAUGUGAUCUAAUUUAAAUAAUUUAAUCAGUGAAACCCUAUUUUGAAGGCACUAUGAAUGAAAACGACAAAAUGGGAAAACAUAGUUCAUGGCAAAGAACAGACAAGCAGGCAAAACUGUCACUAAAAUACUGUGGUAUACUUCAGAACUGCGGGCUCAGGACCGUAUCCUCUUUAAUUUCUGAAACGAAAAAAUUACAUAAAGCUCUCUGAAUUUUAGUAAAGGAGAAGGUUAGAUUCUGAUCUUAAUUCUAAUAAUUUGUCAUAAGUUGUGCUCUUUGUUUAUUUAUAGCCUUUUAAUUUGCUAGUCUUCUGUUCUUUUUACUCUGCCUGUUUCUUUGUCUUCCACAGAAGAAUUCUCUGUUACUUGUGAGAGGAAAUAAUGUAGGAUUCAAUUCAUGGAUAUUAACGUCAAGUUUUCAACAAGAGAAUCUCUGAAAUUAAAAAUCAAUUAUGAUGGUCUAGAACCUCAAGUAUCAGACAGUCAAUCAGAUUUCACAUUUAAGUAAAGGUCAAGAUCUCUGGUAUUUCUUUAAAAUUGGCAGCGAUAUAAGUUCUGUGGGGCAUGUGGGGCAAUUUCUUCAGAGACAGAUAAAUAUAAGGUACAGUCCAUAAGAUAUUUUUGAGUCAAAUCACUCCAGUAAAAAUAAUAAUAAUA